ACUCCUACGGGAGGCAGCAGUGGGGAAUAUUGCACAAUGGGCGCAAGCCUGAUGCAGCCAUGCCGCGUGUAUGAAGAAGGCCUUCGGGUUGUAAAGUACUUUCAGCGGGGAGGAAGGUGUUGUGGUUAAUAACCGCAGCAAUUGACGUUACCCGCAGAAGAAGCACCGGCUAACUCCGUGCCAGCAGCCGCGGUAAAA
rnacentral:rRNA from 1 species